GAGAAAGACAUAGAGGCUAUGUGAUUGGCUUGAAACCAGUUUUAGGGGGUUCGAUUCCUUCCUUUCUUA
rnacentral:tRNA from 1 species